AGCCGCCGCGGUAAAACCAGCACCUCAAGUGGUCAGGAUGAUUAUUGGGCCUAAAGCAUCCGUAGCCGGCUUUGUUAGUUUUCGGUUAAAUCCAUGUGCUCAACGCAUGGGCUGCCGAAAAUACUGCAUGGCUAGGGAGUGGGAGAGGUAGACGGUACUCAAUAGGAAGGGGUAAAAUCCUUUGAUCUAUUGAUGACCACCUGUGGCGAAGGCGGUCUACCAGAACACGUUCGACGGUGAGGGAUGAAAGCUGGGGGAGCAAACCGGAUUAGAUACCCGGGUAGUCCCAGCUGUAAACGAUGCAGACUCGAUGAUGCAUUGGCAUAAUAGCCAGUGCAGUGUCGCAGGGAAGCCGUUAAGUCUGCCGCCUGGGAAGUACGUACGCAAGUAUGAAACUAAAGGAAUUGGC
rnacentral:rRNA from 1 species